rnacentral:rRNA from 1 species
UACGUAGGGCGCAAGCGUUUAUCCGGAAUUAUUGGGCGUAAAGAGCUCGUAGGCGGUUUGUCGCGUCUGCCGUGAAAGUCCGGGGCUCAACUCCGGAUCUGCGGUGGGUACGGGCAGACUAGAGUGAUGUAGGGGAGACUGGAAUUCCUGGUGUAGCGGUGAAAUGCGCAGAUAUCAGGAGGAACACCGAUGGCGAAGGCAGGUCUCUGGGCAUUAACUGACACUGAGGCGCGAAAGCGUGGGGAGCAAACAGG